GAUGGAAUGUAUCCAUUGGUAAUUAUCAUCGUAAUUUACUAACAGAAUUAUUCUUUCUGUAAUUUCAUUGAUUUUAGGUGAAUUUCUGCUACUG